UACGUAGGUGGCGAGCGUUGUCCGGAUUUACUGGGCGUAAAGCGCGCGCAGGCGGCAGUCUAAGUCCUCUGUGAAAUCACCCGGCUCAACUGGGUGGCUGCGGAGGAGACUGGGCAGCUUGAGGGGCCUAGAGGCCGGUGGAACUCCCGGUGUAGUGGUGAAAUGCGUAGAGAUCGGGAAGGACACCAGUGGCGAAGGCGGCCGGCUGGGGGCGCCCUGACGCUGAGGCGCGAGAGCGUGGGGAGCAAACCGG
rnacentral:rRNA from 1 species